rnacentral:tRNA from 1 species
GCCCUCGUGGCUCAGUGGAUAGAGCGUCUGGUUGCGGACCAGAAGGUCACAGGUUCGAAUCCUGUCGAGGGUA